AGGAAUCUUCCACAAUGGGCGAAAGCCUGAUGGAGCGACACCGCGUGAAGGAUGAAGGCCUUAGGGUUGUAAACUUCUAAAAAAGGGACGAUAAUGACGGUACCUUUUGAAAAGCACCGGCUAACUCCGUGCCAGCAGCCGCGGUAAUACGGAGGGUGCGAGCGUUAUCCGGAAUCACUGGGCGUAAAGGGCGCGUAGGCGGUCUGUUAAGUCUGGCGUUGAAGCCUGGGGCUCAACCCCAGAUCAGCGUUGGAUACUGGCAGGCUAGACGGUUGGAGAGGCGAGUGGAAUUACCAGUGUAGCGGUGGAAUGCGUAGAUACUGGUAGGAACACACAUUGCGAAGGCAGCUCGCUGGACAACACGUGACGCUGAGGCGCGAAAGUGUGGGGAGCAAA
rnacentral:rRNA from 1 species